GAUGGCCAAGUGGUUAGAAAGUUUUCGCCUCGUAUGCGGGAGGAACCGGGUUUGAGACCCGGCAGAGUUA